GCGAUGGUGAUGAAAUGGUAGACAUGCUAGCUUGAGGUGCUAGUGGCCGCUCGGCCGUGGGGGUUCAAGUCCCCCCCGUCGCA
rnacentral:tRNA from 3 species